rnacentral:rRNA from 1 species
GGGCCCGCACAAGCGGUGGAGCAUGUGGUUUAAUUCGAUGAUACGCGAGGAACCUUACCAGGGCUUAAAUGUAGUGGGACAGGUCUAGAGAUAGACCCUUCUUCGGACUCAUUACAAGGUGCUGCAUGGUUGUCGUCAGCUCGUGCCGUGAGGUGUCAGGUUAAGUCCUAUAACGAGCGCAACCCCUAUCGUUAGUUGCCAGCGGGUAAUGCCGGGAACUCUAGCGAAACUGCCGGUGCAAACCGUGAGGAAGGUGGGGAUGACGUCAAAUCAUCACGGCCCUUACGUCCAGGGCUGCACGCAUGCUACAAUGGCAAGUACAACGAGUCGCAAUACCGCGAGGUGGAGCA